rnacentral:rRNA from 2 species
UCCGGUGACUUUGGCGGAGGGGUCACACCUCUUCCCAUUCCGAACAGAGUCGUUAAGCCCUCCUGCGCCGAUGGUACUGCCUUGGUAACGAGGUGGGAGAGUAGGUCGUUGCCGGGA